rnacentral:pre_miRNA from 1 species
AGGGGGAGCACCGGAUCCUGGGCUGUGUCCCCCAGGGCCCUGGGAUCCCGGGCCUGUGCUGCUGGAAUCGCGCUCUCAGGGCGCAGCCUCCU